GUGAGGAAUUUUCCGCAAUGGGCGAAAGCCUGACGGAGCAAUGCCGCGUGAAGGAUGCAGGCCUAUGGGUUGUAAACUUCUUUUCUCAGAAAAGAAUUAUGACGGUAUCUGAGGAAUAAGCAUCGGCUAACUCUGUGCCAGCAGCCGCGGUAAGACAGAGGAUGCAAGCGUUAUCCGGAAUGAUUGGGCGUAAAGCGUCUGUAGGUUGUUUAAAAAGUAUUCUGUCAAAGAUUAGGGCUUAACCCUAGAUAGGCAGAAUAAACUUUUAAGCUAGAGUUUGGUAGAGGCAGAGGGAAUUCCCGGUGGAGCGGUGAAAUGCGUAGAUAUCGGGAGGAACACCAAAGGCGAAGGCACUCUGCUGGGCCAAUACUAACACUGAGAGACGAAAGCGAGGGGAGCAAAUGGGAUUAGAAACCCUAGUAGUCC
rnacentral:rRNA from 1 species